rnacentral:lncRNA from 1 species
UUCUAACAAUCUCCCCAAUUCUAGCACUGUCAUUCCCACUCCAAACAAAAUCAAAGCAUGGCAAUUUAGAGUAGAAUUUUUCCUCACAAGGUGGGAUUGCGGGAAAGAUCAACGGUUCAGGAUCAUUGAUACUUUUGAAAGAAGAAGACGAGGAGUAUCUCGAGUCGAAUGCUUUUUGAAUGCAGAAGAUGAUGAAGAUGAAGAAGAGGGAUGAGAAAAGCUGGAGAAAUGUGGAUCGCCUAUUUCGCCAUGAGAGGAGAAGAUUCUUAAAGAGUAAAGCUUUGUACUGUUGGAUUAAGAGAGGAAAUCCUCUCCGCAAUUCCAUUUUGUUUAAGGUUUGGAUUUGAGUUUUAAGAAAUUUUUACUGUUUUGAUAUUGUUUUUUGUGAAUUGCAGAGGUUUUUAUAGGCAAAAAUGGUGGGAGGCGCGGGUAAUAAGAUUUUGCAAUUUGCCCCCUGGGGUUUUCUUAAAUGGCAAAGGUGGCCACAUUUUUGAAUCUCGUUGUUUCUCGGAAAUUUCCAUGAGGGUUUGAGGAAGUUAACAAGAAAGUAGUUGUCAAAUAAAAUUAUUUUUGGCAUGGCAAUUUAGAGUAGAAUUUUUCCUCACAAGGUGGGAUUGCGGGAAAGAUCAACGGUUCAGGAUCAUUGAUACUUUUGAAAGAAGAAGACGAGGAGUAUCUCGAGUCGAAUGCUUUUUGAAUGCAGAAGAUGAUGAAGAUGAAGAAGAGGGAUGAGAAAAGCUGGAGAAAUGUAGACCGCCUAUUUCGCCAUGAGAGGAGAAGAUUCUUAAAGAGUAAAGCUUUGUACUGUUGGAUUAAGAGAGGAAAUCCUCUCCGCAAUUCCAUUUUGUUUAAGGUUCGGAUUUGAGUUUUAAG